GAUGAACGCUGGCGGCGUGCUUAACACAUGCAAGUCGAACGAAGUGGCGCAUGGGCGAGUAACGCGUACUCAACCUGCCCUUCAGAGGGGGACACCCGUUGGAAACGACUGCUAAUACCGCAUUCUGAAGGAGGGGAUCGCGCCUGAUUUGCUAGCUGGUGCGGUAACGGCCCACAAAAGCGAUGAACAGUAGCCGGUCUGAGAGGAGGAAGGGCCAAAUUAGGACUGAGACACGGGCCAGACUCCUACGGGAAGCAGAGGUGGGGAAUCAUACGCAAUGGACGAAAGUCUGACGAAGCAACGCCGCGUGAGUGAUGAAGGCCUUCGGGUUGGAAAGCACUGAUAAUCAGCACGCGGUGCCGGAGUAGAAGGCCACGGCUAACUACGUGCCAGCAGCCGCGGUAAUAC
rnacentral:rRNA from 1 species